rnacentral:sRNA from 1 species
UAUAUAUAUAUAUUUUAAAGUCAUUGUUUAGACCUAAGCUUUUGGAGGCUAUUCUCUUUCUCUAUUGUUCUUGGGAGUAAAACCCUAUGGAGACUGUAACUGACCUCUUUAUUUGAGAGAGUGCUCUUAGGAUUAAUUUGACCUACAUCAAGAGUAAAGAGUAGUCCUGUCACACCCGUCUACCUCAACAUUGAGACAGUGUGCUUUCACCUUACUUAUAUCUUUGCUCUAUUCCACUUUCUUAAUUCAAAUACAAAAUUGUCUUAAAAAUAAUCUUAAAUCACUGAAAACUAUUUAAUAAAUCGUAUAAGAAAAUAACAAGACAGACUUGAGCGACUACACACAAUUCUCACCGUGACCUGGGGAAAAAGGGAAAAGAAAGGGAUGAGUAAAGAAUUACUCAGUGAGAGGAUCCUUUCCGCCCACUGGAAAUACGAUACACGAUUCUACCUUUAAACAACAAUCAAUAAUCACAUAGAAACAGACACAACACUCAUAUAGUUUGCAUCAAUAUUCAAAACUAUAACACACAACUCAUUCUUGCUUAAGCAAGAUCUCCACAUCAAUACCAGGUUCGAUCAUUUCCCUGACCUUUGAACCAAUCUUAUUCCACUGGACUCGUCAGUCUUUUAUUGAGCUACAAAGAACCCGUCAAUUCAAUGUAGACCAUUUUCCACUAUUCCACUUUUCCACUUUUCCACUGUGAUUCCACUUUCUCAUAUAACUCAUAAUUUACUUGUUAUCACAAGUACAAUAAUUCAAUCAUCCUAUUUUACUAGACCAAUCAUCAUAUCAUCAAUCCUAAUUAACAAUUCAUUAUUACUAAGCAAACAGAUCUAUUCCUAUGCAAUGAAUCAUGAAGCAUAAAAAUAGAAACAUGUAAUCGAAUCUCCGCAGAUCACACCCUCACUGAAUUUGGGAUAAAAGAAAAAGGUUGUAAACUCCUUGACAAUAUCUGAAACUUGCAGCACAAGAAAACAACACAAAGAAAAAUUAGGGUUUCUGCAGUUUUCACAAAACAGCUGAUUCUUGCUCAACAAGCAAUCGACAUGGCAGCUAGGGUAUACUUUUCCAAGUAAAGACAAAAAGUUCCGUGUCUUCCCUAACACUUUCUCUACCGGUAUCCACCGUCGCUCCGAGAUGACCAGAAACGCCUCCUAAAAACCUUAAGAUGAAACUGCAAUGUUCCUGACACUUAGUAUUUUUCUGGGUUCAGGGAAACU